rnacentral:rRNA from 1 species
GAUUAAGUUAUUAAGGGCGCACGGUGGAUGCCUUGGCACUAGAAGCCGAUGAAGGACGUUACUAACGACGAUAUGCUUUGGGGAGCUGUAAGUAAGCUUUGAUCCAGAGAUUUCCGAAUGGGGAAACCCAACAUGAGUUAUGUCAUGUUAUCGAUAUGUGAAUACAUAGCAUAUCAGAAGGCACACCCGGAGAACUGAAACAUCUUAGUACCCGGAGGAAGAGAAAGAAAAUUCGAUUCCCUUAGUAGCGGCGAGCGAAACGGGAAGAGCCCAAACCAACAAGCUUGCUUGUUGGGGUUGUAGGACACUCUAUACGGAGUUACAAAGGACGACAUUAGACGAAUCAUCUGGAAAGAUGAAUCAAAGAAGGUAAUAAUCCUGUAGUCGAAAAUGUUGUCUCUCUUGAGUGGAUCCUGAGUACGACGGAGCACGUGAAAUUCCGUCGGAAUCUGGGAGGACCAUCUCCUAAGGCUAAAUACUCUCUAGUGACCGAUAGUGAACCAGUACCGUGAGGGAAAGGUGAAAAGCACCCCGGAAGGGGAGUGAAAUAGAACCUGAAACCGUGUGCUUACAAGUAGUCAGAGCCCGUUAAUGGGUGAUGGCGUGCCUUUUGUAGAAUGAACCGGCGAGUUACGAUUUGAUGCAAGGUUAAGCAGUAAAUGUGGAGCCGUAGCGAAAGCGAGUCUGAAUAGGGCGUUUAGUAUUUGGUCGUAGACCCGAAACCAGGUGAUCUACCCUUGGUCAGGUUGAAGUUCAGGUAACACUGAAUGGAGGACCGAACCGACUUACGUUGAAAAGUGAGCGGAUGAACUGAGGGUAGCGGAGAAAUUCCAAUCGAACCUGGAGAUAGCUGGUUCUCUCCGAAAUAGCUUUAGGGCUAGCCUCAAGUGAUGAUUAUUGGAGGUAGAGCACUGUUUGGACGAGGGGCCCCUCUCGGGUUACCGAAUUCAGACAAACUCCGAAUGCCAAUUAAUUUAACUUGGGAGUCAGAACAUGGGUGAUAAGGUCCGUG